UGGGGAAUAUUGGACAAUGGGCGCAAGCCUGAUCCAGCAAUGCCGCGUGUGUGAAGAAGGCCUUCGGGUUGUAAAGCACUUUUAUCAGGAGCGAAAUCUGCAUGCUUAAUACGUGUGCAGUCUGACGGUACCUGAGGAAUAAGCACCGGCUAACUUCGUGCCAGCAGCCGCGGUAAUACGAAGGGUGCAAGCGUUAAUCGGAAUUACUGGGCGUAAAGGGUGCGUAGGCGGUUCGUUAAGUCGGUCGUGAAAUCCCCGGGCUCAACCUGGGAAUGGCGAUGGAUACUGGCGAGCUAGAGUGUGUCAGAGGAUGGUGGAAUUCCCGGUGUAGCGGUGAAAUGCGUAGAGAUCGGGAGGAACACCGAUGGCGAAGGCAGCCCCCUGGGUCAAGACUGACGCUCAUGCACGAAAGCGUGGGGAGCAAAC
rnacentral:rRNA from 1 species